rnacentral:rRNA from 1 species
GAUGAACGCUGGCGGCGUGCCUAAUACAUGCAAGUCGAGCGAAGAGACGAGGAGCUUGCUCCUCUGACGUUAGCGGCGGACGGGUGAGUAACACGUGGAUAACCUACCUAUAAGACUGGGAUAACUUCGGGAAACCGGAGCUAAUACCGGAUAAUAUAUUGAACCGCAUGGUUCAAUAGUGAAAGACGGUUUUGCUGUCACUUAUAGAUGGAUCGGCGCCGCAUUAGUUAGUUGGUAAGGUAAAGGCCUACCAAGGCGAAGUAGCGUAUCCGACCUGCGAGGGUGAACGGCCCACAUGGGACCUAAACACGGCCCAAACCCCUACGGGGGGCAGCAGUAGGGAAUCUUCGGCAAGGGGCGAAAGUCCGACCGAGCAACCCCGCGUGAGUGAAGAAGGUUUUCGGAUCGUAAAAAUCGGUUUAUAGGGAAGAACGAUGGUGGGAGUGAAAAGCGCAUCAAUUGACGGUACCUAACCAGAAAGCGACGGCUAACUACGUG